CCGAAGCUAUGAAAUAGCAAAAGGAGGAGUGUGGAAUUAGCGCUUUUUCUUCUUCUUUUUUAUCCAUUCGCAGAGACAGAAAAAAGAAACGCACGCAGCUUUUGUUUCUUCUCUCUCUUUUUAGUAUUUAAAUUUAAAAAAUUAAGGGAAAAAAAAAAUCCCGUUUCUCUUCCUCACUGCACUCUUACGUUACACCCCGAAACUCAAACCCGUCAACAUCUCUUUCUCUCUCUGCGAUGAAUUAGGGUUUUGAAACAGUGAAUUUUCACCACCUCAGGAGACAAUGUUAUUUUUGUGAUUUUCAUUACAGAAGAAGGGGACAGAUAAUCUUUCUGUAGUAUGGCAACUGAGAGUCCAAUUAGAAUCUCAGAAGCUGGUGGUAAAUGGCCGUCUCAUAAGGAAGCUGCAGCUUUUGGUUCACUGUCUCGUAACAUGGCAACAGAGGAUUUGGGUAUACUUCUGAAGGGCCAUAGGUACCAGGGUGGUGGAAAGGAUGUGGCACCCAAUCGCAGUGGCAGUGCACCUCCCAGCAUUGAAGGCUCAUUUCUGGCCAUAGAAAACCUUUUACCCCAGCAUAACACCACCCAGAAUGCAAGCUUUGCCAACCUAAGCAGCGCUAUGCAAAAUUGUGAGUCUGAAGAACAAUUGCGAGCUGAUCCAGCUUAUUUGGCAUAUUACAAUUCCAAUGUCAACCUAAACCCUAGACUUCCUCCCCCGCUUACAUCCUGGGAAAAUCGCCAUCUAGGACGUCAUAUUAUCAGUUUUAGAAAUAAUUGGAGAAUGUCUACUACGGAUGAUAGUGGUAAAAGUUCUUUACAUUUGCCUCAAAGGACUCUUUCCACGCACAAGGAGGAGUCUGAAGAUGAUUCACCCCAACAGCCAUAUGAUCAUGAAUUAGUUAAGGCAAGUGGAAUUUGGCGUAGUCCUGAUGCAGCUUCAUUGGCAUCUCAGCACAAAAAUAUGGUUGACUUAAUUCAGGAAGAUUUUCCUCGCACCAUGUCACCUGUAUAUAAUAAGUCUCUUUCUGUAAGUCACGGACUAGUGGAUAAACCGAUUGAUUUAGAAGCUGGUUCUAGUUCUUCUCAUGGCCCCCCUGUUACUACAAUAAAGGCUGGUAAACCUACUAUAGGUGCAGAUGACAUAAGGGUGUCAUCAAGUGUCGAUACCCAUGCCCCAGUUGCAAGCUCAUCAUCUCUUGAAUCCACUGGCAGCAUUGGUGUUAGUGACAUUGCAACUGUUGAGUCUCAACUAAAGGCUCUUGGUGUAUCUAAUGUACCAAAUUCAGAAAGUCUGAGUUACGAAGAAAAAUGGAAGGCAAGCUACCAGAACAAUUUGAUGCGACACCCGGGAUUCCAGCAACAAAACAAUCCAUAUGAUGUUCCUAGUGCCAAUUCUCAAAAUUUAAAUUCUGUGUACGUUGGUAGGGAACAAUUUCCUUUUAAUUCCAGCAAGUUCUCCAAUGUCCAGCCACUACUGCAGUCAUCUGGUUUUACACCUCCCCUAUAUGCCACAGCAGCUGCUUAUAUGUCCUCAGCCAAUCCAUUUUACACUAAUAUGGAGGCGUCAGGUAUAUAUACUCCACAAUAUGUUGGUGGAUACACUGUAAAUCCCACAGCUUUUCCUCCAUAUACUGCAUACCCUCCUCAUGGUGUUCUACCUCUUGUCGUUGAUGGAGCUACUAGUUCCAAUUAUACUCCACUAACACCGGGGGUUUCAAUUGGGGGAAACAUUUCGCAUGGAGCUGAGAUGGUACAGACAAACAAGUACCUUGGGCAAUUUGGAUUUCCUCCGCAGCCUUCUUUUGGUGAUCCUAUGUACAUGCAAUAUCAUCAGCAACCUUUUGUGGAAGGAUAUGGUAUUUCUGGUCAUUUUGAUCCACUGGCACCUAGAGCAAGUGGUGUUAGCCAAAUUAGUCCUUAUGAUUCGCAAAAAAGGUCCAGUACUGGUGCUUAUUUGGAUGAUAAAAAAUUAACUGAUCAGAGAACUUCUGCUAAUAUGAACUCAAGAAGAGGUGGAGUAUCGAUUCCUAGUUAUUUUGGACACAUGCCAAACAUGGGUUUUGUAAUGCAGUAUCCGAGUUCACCACUUCCUAGUCCAGUUUUAUCAGGAUACCCAGAAGGAAGUCCUGGCCUUCCAGGAGUUAGGAAUGAAAUAAAACUUUCCCCUGCUUCUGGAAGAAAUGGAGGCGUAAUAUCUGGAUGGCAAGGUCAUAGAUCUUUUGACAGUGCUCAUGACCCCAAAAUGGUUAAUUUUCUUGAAGACUUAAAAUCUGGCAAAGGUCGAAGAUUUGAGCUAUCCGAUAUUAUUGGACAUAUUGUUGAAUUUAGCUCUGAUCAGCAUGGAAGUCGAUUUAUACAGCAGAAGUUGGAAAGUUGUAGUGGCGAAGAGAAGGCAUUGGUGUUUAAAGAGGUUCUUCCACAUGCUUCUAAAUUAAUGACUGAUGUAUUUGGUAACUACGUAAUACAGAAGUUUUUUGAGUAUGGAAGCUCGGAGCAGAGGAGGGAACUUGCAGAUCGACUUGUUGGCCAGAUACUGCCUUUGAGUUUGCAGAUGUAUGGCUGUCGUGUAAUCCAAAAGGCACUUGAGGUUAUUGAGCUUGAACAGAAAGCUCAGCUUGUUCAUGAGCUAGAUGGAAAUGUUAUGAGAUGUGUUCGUGAUCAAAAUGGUAACCAUGUUAUUCAAAAGUGCAUUGAAUCUAUUCAAACCAAAAAGAUUAGCUUUAUACUAUCUGCAUUUCGUGGUCAAGUUGCUACUCUAUCAAUGCAUCCCUAUGGAUGCCGAGUCAUACAGAGAGUUCUAGAACAUUGCAUGGACGAGAGUCAAUGCCAGUUUAUUGUAGAUGAAAUCUUAGAGUCAGUUUGUGCUCUUGCUCAGGACCAGUAUGGUAAUUAUGUUACACAGCAUGUCUUGGAGAGAGGAAAGCCUCAGGAAAGGAGCCAAAUUCUCAGCAAGUUGUCAGGACAUAUUGUUCAAUUAAGCCAGCAUAAAUUUGCUUCAAAUGUGGUAGAAAAAUGUUUGGAGUAUGGUGAUGCCACUGAACGGGAGUUGCUAGUUGCAGAGAUAUUUGGGCAUGAUGACCAAUGUGAUAAUUUAUUGACAAUGAUGAAAGAUCAAUUUGCGAAUUAUGUGGUCCAGAAGGUCAUUGAUAUCUGUUCUGAAAAUCAGCGAGCAAUGUUGCUUUCUCACGUAAGAAUCCAUGCUCAUGCUUUGAAGAAAUACACUUAUGGAAAACACAUUGUGGCUCGGUUGGAACAUCAAUUUGGAGUCCAAAUAAGUUGUAAAUAAGAUCUUCCAACCGCACCCAUAUUAGGACAUGUAGGCAGUAUCGAUGGGUGGUGAAAACAAGUAAAGAGGCACUUCCAGCACCGGGCAGGUGUCAGACUCUAAACAUUGUGUUACCACUUAGCAGAGUCCUGUGUUUUUAAUAAACAGUCGCUACCCCCUGAGAAUCAAACACCCAGCUCAUGAUAGAAUAAAGAGACAAAGCCAUGGGUCUCCAGCAAUGCUGCCGUGUCAUGCAAACCCUGCAGCAUCAACAUAUGUUCUGUUGAUCACAGGAAAUAGCUGAGACAUUGAUAGCUUCCAGUUGUUUUUACUCCUGACUUCGUUCCUGCGCCUUGAUAGCUUCUACAUUGAUGGCUUCAGGAGACAUUAGUAUAUACGACUAUACUUUGAAACUCAAUGUAAUUAUGUCAUUUAAAUAAUUGGUUCCGAAUGUUAUUUGAAUAAUUAUUUGGAAGGAAACCCUUCCCUUCCUGAUGUAUAAUUUACUGGGUCUUCCGUGCUUAGUGUGUGGUUUUCUUGGAGAUGCAGGUAUUCAAGUAUUCUUAAAACUCAACUAGUCCUUGGCAACUUAGCA